UACCUUCGCUUAACCUAUGCAAAACCUUCACAGAUCUAUGAUGAAUAAGCUCGGGGAGUCCUCGAAGAUCGCCUUCGUACUCGCGGUGAUCUUGCACCAAGGAAGUGCCAUAGGGUCCUCUGCCCCGACGGUCCAGCUAUCCAGCAUACCUCUGAUGAUAAUGCCAGGCAUGUCAGUACCUAGCCAUCUCUUGAGCGAGAGCUUCCACAAUUACACUACCCAUCUCCUCACCAGCUCUGCCCACGGGCCGGCUUUUGUGGUGCGCGGGACUUCGAUCGUUGCCGGAAACAUGACUCGCCAGAAACCGAGCAUCUGUCAUUGCAAACUUGAAUGCUGGUUCACGACGUGGUGUGCGGCUGUGUCGAGCACGCCCAGACUGGACGGGACUGUCGACUGCACUUUUUCAGAGAGCUUGCCGACGCAGCUGAUGGCAGAUAUUAAUGCUACUUACUUCGUUUUCCACGAGCGACUGCCAGAGAAUAUUGACGUGUACACCUUCUCCCGGGCGAAGGACAUCUACGCCGUCCCAAAUAAGCGCCUGACCUUCCCUGGUGCCGAGUCCUUCUGCAAGCGCCUGCCUGGAUUCCGUCUGGCUGUUUUUAUCAACAAGGAUGAGACGGAACGGGUCAUGGUGCUCAUGGCGAAGAUAGCUAAACCUGUCAUGGUGGGUCUACGCAGGACCAACAACGGCGGAGAGAUCUGGGAUGACGGAACGCCCUUCCAGGAGUCGACCUAUGGCUGGGCCAACCCGACUAGCGGGAUCUAUGUCGGAAGUUUCCUAGACCAGCCUUUCCUCCAGAUAGCGUACAGCACCCUUCAGAGUAUCGCUCCAACCACGGAGUCCUUCUUCGUAUGCCAGGCCUACCUGUACUAAGGCGCGCAGGGGUGCCUGGUGGAAGAUGGCUGGUUGCCUGACAGUGUCCUGAAUUAGGCCUGUAUUGUCUUGAGGUGGCUUAAUUUUUAGGCCUGUGUUUGAUAGGGGAGGGCUGGGACGCUGAGUAUUAAUGAUAGUAUCCUUAACUAGACCUUUAUUGUAUUGAAGUGGCUUAAUUUGUAGGCCUAUGUGUGCUGUGUUUUGCUUUAAUUGUGUAUAAAGGAGCUUAUAAUUAUUAUUAUAAAGAAAAACAUUAAAAACUGCAGAUUAAUAUAAAGGAACUUGAGAGAGAGAGAGGAGAGAGAGAGAGAGAGAGAGAGAGAGAGAGAGAGAGAGAGAGAAUUACAUUUGACUCCAAAAUUUUAAUGAAUUAUCGUAACUCAGGACGAAACUAACUUUUUUUUUUAAAUAUUCUUGUUAAAUAUCUCAAAUUCUUUUAAUUUCUCAUUGAUAUUUAUUGAAUCUGUAAAAAUUAUAUUGUAACUUUUUCACCAUAUUCAUUUCUGUUCAUUGUAUUUGUCAGAUUUAAAUGGAAAAUAAAAUUAAUAUAAAUAAGUAACUUCCGGU